GGGACACGUGGUAUCCUGUCUGAAUAUGGGGGGACCAUCCUCCAAGGCUAAAUACUCCUGACUGACCGAUAGUGAACCAGUACCGUGAGGGAAAGGCGAAAAGAACCCCGGCGAGGGGAGUGAAAAAGAACCUGAAACCGUGUACGUACAAGCAGUGGGAGCCUCUUAAUGGGGUGACUGCGUACCUUUUGUAUAAUGGGUCAGCGACUUAUAUUCUGUAGCAAGGUUAACCGAAUAGGGGAGCCGAAGGGAAACCGAGUCUUAACUGGGCGUUAAGUUGCAGGGUAUAGACCCGAAACCCGGUGAUCUAGCCAUGGGCAGGUUGAAGGUUGGGUAACACUAACUGGAGGACCGAACCGACUAAUGUUGAAAAAUUAGCGGAUGACUUGUGGCUGGGGGUGAAAGGCCAAUCAAACCGGGAGAUAGCUGGUUCUCCCCGAAAGCUAUUUAGGUAGCGCCUCGUGAAUUCAUCUCCGGGGGUAGAGCACUGUUUCGGCAAGGGGGUCAUCCCGACUUACCAACCCGAUGCAAACUGCGAAUACCGGAGAAUGUUAUCACGGGAGACACACGGCGGGUGCUAACGUCCGUCGUGAAGAGGGAAACAACCCAGACCGCCAGCUAAGGUCCCAAAGUCAUGGUUAAGUGGGAAACGAUGUGGGAAGGCCCAGACAGCCAGGAUGUUGGCUUAGAAGCAGCCAUCAUUUAAAGAAAGCGUAAUAGCUCACUGGUCGAGUCGGCCUGCGCGGAAGAUGUAACGGGGCUAAACCAUGCACCGAAGCUGCGGCAGCGACACUAUGUGUUGUUGGGUAGGGGAGCGUUCUGUAAGCCUGUGAAGGUGUGCUGUGAGGCAUGCUGGAGGUAUCAGAAGUGCGAAUGCUGACAUAAGUAACGAUAAAGCGGGUGAAAAGCCCGCUCGCCGGAAGACCAAGGGUUCCUGUCCAACGUUAAUCGGGGCAGGGUGAGUCGACCCCUAAGGCGAGGCCGAAAGGCGUAGUCGAUGGGAAACAGGUUAAUAUUCCUGUACUUGGUGUUACUGCGAAGGGGGGACGGAGAAGGCUAUGUUGGCCGGGCGACGGUUGUCCCGGUUUAAGCGUGUAGGCUGGUUUUCCAGGCAAAUCCGGAAAACCAAGGCUGAGGCGUGAUGACGAGGCACUACGGUGCUGAAGCGACAAAUGCCCUGCUUCCAGGAAAAGCCUCUAAGCAUCAGGUAACAUCAAAUCGUACCCCAAACCGACACAGGUGGUCAGGUAGAGAAUACCAAGGCGCUUGAGAGAACUCGGGUGAAGGAACUAGGCAAAAUGGUGCCGUAACUUCGGGAGAAGGCACGCUGAUAUGUAGGUGAAGCGACUUGCUCGUGGAGCUGAAAUCAGUCGAAGAUACCAGCUGGCUGCAACUGUUUAUUAAAAACACAGCACUGUGCAAACACGAAAGUGGACGUAUACGGUGUGACGCCUGCCCGGUGCCGGAAGGUUAAUUGAUGGGGUUAGCGGUAACGCGAAGCUCUUGAUCGAAGCCCCGGUAAACGGCGGCCGUAACUAUAACGGUCCUAAGGUAGCGAAAUUCCUUGUCGGGUAAGUUCCGACCUGCACGAAUGGCGUAAUGAUGGCCAGGCUGUCUCCACCCGAGACUCAGUGAAAUUGAACUCGCUGUGAAGAUGCAGUGUACCCGCGGCAAGACGGAAAGACCCCGUGAACCUUUACUAUAGCUUGACACUGAACAUUGAGCCUUGAUGUGUAGGAUAGGUGGGAGGCUUUGAAGUGUGGACGCCAGUCUGCAUGGAGCCGACCUUGAAAUACCACCCUUUAAUGUUUGAUGUUCUAACGUUGGCCCGUAAUCCGGGUUGCGGACAGUGUCUGGUGGGUAGUUUGACUGGGGCGGUCUCCUCCUAAAGAGUAACGGAGGAGCACGAAGGUUGGCUAAUCCUGGUCGGACAUCAGGAGGUUAGUGCAAUGGCAUAAGCCAGCUUGACUGCGAGCGUGACGGCGCGAGCAGGUGCGAAAGCAGGUCAUAGUGAUCCGGUGGUUCUGAAUGGAAGGGCCAUCGCUCAACGGAUAAAAGGUACUCCGGGGAUAACAGGCUGAUACCGCCCAAGAGUUCAUAUCGACGGCGGUGUUUGGCACCUCGAUGUCGGCUCAUCACAUCCUGGGGCUGAAGUAGGUCCCAAGGGUAUGGCUGUUCGCCAUUUAAAGUGGUACGCGAGCUGGGUUUAGAACGUCGUGAGACAGUUCGGUCCCUAUCUGCCGUGGGCGCUGGAGAACUGAGGGGGGCUGCUCCUAGUACGAGAGGACCGGAGUGGACGCAUCACUGGUGUUCGGGUUGUCAUGCCAAUGGCACUGCCCGGUAGCUAAAUGCGGAAGAGAUAAGUGCUGAAAGCAUCUAAGCACGAAACUUGCCCCGAGAUGAGUUCUCCCUGAGACUUAGAGUCUCCUGAAGGAACGUUGAAGACGACGACGUUGAUAGGCCGGGUGUGUAAGCGCAGCGAUGCGUUGAGCUAACCGGUACUAAUGAACCGUGAGGCUUAACCUU
rnacentral:rRNA from 1 species